rnacentral:lncRNA from 1 species
UUUGGCUCUUCCCGCCCGGCCUGCGUUGUGCGCCUGCGCAGCCGCCGCAAACCCGCGUUGCUCAGCGAUGGAGUUUGGGGUUCGGCCUCCUUCGGCUGGACUCGGGCAUUUCCGUUCAUGGAGAUGACGCUUCGGCGGCCUUGCAGGUCACUUCCGGCGACUUUCGCGGGGCCGGGCAGGAAGCGGAGUUAGUCGCCAUCUUUGAGUGGGGCAGACGUGGGCCGCUUUUGCUCGCGGUCACUUCAUCUUAAGUUGUAUAUAUGUGCAGAGCGCGGCGCGGGUGGUCACCUCCGCUGCUGCCGCCACCCGCCCGGCCUGCCUUUGACCCUAUGGGUCACAGACAAGGCAGGGUGAUCGCGGCAAGACCCUGAGUGAGACUAGAUGCGUUACCCAGAGGGUGCGAGGUCGAGUACCUUCCCUGUCCCAUCGCAAACCCAAAGAUCCCCGUUCCUGGAGAUUCUGAUUGAGGUCCCAGCCCUACCUGUCCUGAUGCCUGACCAGCAGGAUGCAAGCCCAGGAGGCCAUCCAGGAUACCAGGACUGGGAGAGAAUGUGGGUACGGGGAAUACUCGCCCUGCUUGCAAAAGGUUUUACUAGGGUGGGGAGUUUCUAGAAAGUAGAGGGGCUGUGGGAUCAGUGGUAGUGGUGGGUGGCUUUUUUUGAGGGCAGAAGAUGCUAGAGGAGGUUGAACCUUAUAGGGGAUGAUCUAGGGAAUGGGGGAACUUGGGGAUGCUGGAGUAAGAGGGCUGCCUGCGUAGGGCCAGGAGUGGGGUCGGCAGAGAUGGUGCUGUCCAUGCGGAAGGCCUAGUCCCACCACACCCCAUCUCACUUACCUGGGGAGAAGAUGCCCCCAGCUUCCUCAUGCCACAGGGCCCUGGGGUGCUCCCUCCAUGAGGGACCCUCAGGCCCAGUCUUGCUGUGGGGAAAGAUCUGGUCCAGCACGGUCCCACAUCUCUGAAAUCACAGUGGUCACUGCUCCUCUGUGCCUGGCUGGGCUCAGGGAGGGACCUACCUGACCCCACCCAGCAACUUCCAGGGAAAGGAGGAGAACAUGGACCUGGGCAGGACUUACCUGGGCCUCCUCAGGCAGGAGGGUGGGUACAGACUCCUGGGUGGCAGCUAGAGGCCCAGACUCCAGGAAAUCUAGAGAGGAAAACUGGUAUCAGGCAGCCUGAGUGAGUUUCCACCCCACUGCCCUUCUUAGUGGUGUGCCAGGUGCUGGGAUGCAGAGAGGUGGGAUUCUUGGUUGUGGGCUUGGGUUGGGGAGGGCAGUGCAGGGUAGCUGAGGGCCCAGCUCAGGGGCUGGGUGAAGCAGAGUACCCUGGAAGGCCAGGGGUUGAGCUGCAGUGGGAUGAGAUGGGCUGAGGUUUGUGCCCCUGUAGCCGUAUGUGAACCAUGGGGCAAGGUGGUCAGCGGGGGUCAGAGGUAUUGUACAAGGGUCCACAUAGGAAUGGCAGGGUGUGAGCAGCUAGUUCAGGUGCCCUGCCUGGGAGGUGAAAGGGGUCAUACCCCUAACACUACGAGGUCCUCCCUCAGCAGCUCCUAAUUAUACCUCUGCCUGCUGUCUGUUCCCCAGUGACAAGCACAUAUUGCCUAACGCAUCUCCUUGGGGACUGAACACCACAUGCCAUCUGUACUGGGAAACCCCAACAGCCUGCUCCAUGCCAUGGGGUUCGUGGGUACAGGGCUGUGGCAGUCAGGCUUGGUGUGUGAGGGGUAGUGACAGCACUGGCUGCGGUGGAGGGGAGACCUGACUGGGUAGAAUGUGGGGGCUGCUGGCAGAUGGAAACCAUUCCAUUUAUAACAAACCUGGCCCAGUGGACUUCAGACUGACUGCUCAGGCCAGGUUCCCUGGCCCACCCAACCAGACCUUAGGCGCGCCCACCGUGCAUGCCCUCACCUGAGUCCUCUGUAACCUCUGACUCCUCUUUCACCUGCAGGCCCAGUGGUGAUUCCUGCAUAGUCCUAGGAGGUGUCUUGGGCCCAGGCUCUGGAGUUGGAGGCUCAGUUUCAGGUAGGGGCUGGAAACUGGAGGGCUCCAUCUUCUCUGAUAGGACCUCCUGGCCCUGCACCUGGACUGUGACCUGGGGAGGUGCCCCCACCAUCAGAAGUCCUACCAGAGAGUAAGGCUGGCCGCAACCUGGGGUUUGUGGGUGCCCAUCCCACUGUAGGAUCCCAGGGGCCUGCCUUGUAAAUACCUACUGACUAGGUCCUCCAAGGACCUACCUCCCCUAGGCCCUGAGCAAAGAAUGAAGGGACCACCUGCAGUCCCUCCCCUGCUCUGACAUCGUGGCCUUCCAGUACCUUCCCCAUAUUCCCCUAGCCUGCAGCUCCUAUGUCCACGUGACUGCAGGUGAUGCAGGAAUGGGCUGGGGAGUCUGGCCCUGGAAUCCCUCUGCCCUGGGCAGCCUUGCACAGGGUCUCUGUUGCAGGUGGCCACUUCUGUACCACAAGGGAGAACGUGUGUCUGGCAAAGCGUGGUGCUGCCCAGGGUGAGGCCGAGCUGGAUGAUGCUCCAGUCCUGAACCCCACUCGUGGACACUCACUCACCCAUCUCCGGGGUCCGCCCGGCUCCCGGCGCAGCCCAUCUACUAGGGCAGCAGCCUCCUCGGGGCUGCCUGGCCGCUGCCCCUGCACA